rnacentral:rRNA from 1 species
CGCCCGUCGCUACUACCGAUUGAAUGGCUCAGUGAGGCGUCCGGACUGGCCCAGAGAGGUGGGCAACUACCACUCAGGGCCGGAAAGCUCUCCAAACUCGGUCAUUUAGAGGAAGUAAAAGUCGUAACAAGGUCUCCGUUGGUGAACCAGCGGAGGGAUCAUUA